rnacentral:rRNA from 1 species
UACGUAGGGGGCUAGCGUUGUCCGGAAUCAUUGGGCGUAAAGAGCGUGUAGGCGGCCCGGUAAGUCCGCUGUAAAAGUCAAAGGCUCAACCUUUGAAUGUCAGUGGAUACUGCCGGGCUAGAGUCCGGAAGAGGCGAGUGGAACUCCUGGUGUAGCGGUGGAAUGCGCAGAUAUCAGGAAGAACACCCGUGGCGAAGGCGGCUUUCUGGGACGGUACUGACGCUGAGACGCGAAAGCGUGGGGAGCGAACAGG